UUUGUGUGACUAAAUUUGGCAAGAAUAUGGAUCCGCGCCAGUCUUUCCACGUGUGCUCCCAGCUCCCAGCUGAGAAGGCCAAGGGUUCUCUUCCGGAUCAUUGGUGCCUCACCAGAAGGGAACAGAGAGAAGGAGAACCAAGAGACUGAUGUCCGACAAGUCACUUCCUAGAGAGACACAUAUGCAGAACGCCUAUCAUACGUACUACACGUGUUGGAGUAUGUAGCCAAUAUUUUGUUCAUGUAAAAAAUAAAGCAGAAAAUUAAACCA